ensembl:lncRNA LINC02848 long intergenic non-protein coding RNA 2848
GUGGGAGGAGCGGGGCGGUGAGAGCCUGGCUAGGCAGGCUGGAAACAGUAGCUCUUAACGGUCCCCCGCCCGUUGGUGGCAAGGCGGCUGGACUGGAAUCCCAGCAGGCGACAUGCGAGGAGGCGGGCAGCCCAGGAGGGUUGGACACGGCAAUGUGGACCUCGCCGCUUCCACAACGAUGCUGGCUACUGAUCGCGUGCACUUCCUUGCCAAAGAAAAGAAAUUAAUGUUAUGACUGGAUGAAGACAAUUGUGAAGAAACUGCACUUUGAGGUUGUCUAUCUCUGUAUUCUGAUGGAAAAGCGUGGAGUUUAGAAGCACUGCUCACUCCUUCAGUUUCUAACAACAUUUUGAAUAUAUGGUCUCCAAGUUUGCUUGCAAAGCUUCUGCUGAAAAAUCCACUGAUACCAUUAUAAAGGUUUCCUUCUAUGUGAAGAAUUUAUCUCUUGCUGUUUUCAAGAUUUGUGCUUUAUCUUUGUAUUUUGACAAUCAUAAUGUGUCCAAGGGCAAUCUUUAUUAGGUUCUUCUUGCUGAAGAUAUUUGGAGCUUCAUAAAACUUGAUGUUCAUAUUCUUUUCUAGAUUCAGAAAGUUUUAAGACAUUAUAUAUUUAAAUCUCUGUUCCUCUUUCUCUCUUUUUCUGAAAUUUCUGAAAUGUGUAUAUUUGUUCACUUUAUGGUUGGUUACUUGUAAAUAGCCUGUCUUUGAGUUUGCUGAAUUUUUCUUCUUUAUUAUUGAUUCUCCUGUUAAACAUUUCUAUUAUAUUUUUUCAGUUCUGCCACUGUUUAUUUCAGUUCCAGGAUUUCUGUUUGAUUUUUUUUUUACUUGCUCAAUCUCUUUAUUUAGUGGCACACAUAGAAUGAAUGAAUGAGCUCUUAGUUGUGCCAUACUUAGUAAGUCUGAUCUUGCUUAUAGAAAUAGGAUCUUAAUAAUUCAUUCUCAGAACACUUUAAAACCCAAGACACAGUUUUUCUUUCAAGGAUGUGGAAAGCAUUCCUCAUUCAAAUCUGAUUUAUGGUUUUAUAAAGUAUGUACCUCAUUUUUAUUAGUCAUUAUCUUCAUGCUAGAUUCUAAUAUUCUUUUUGAUGGUGGCGUGUUCAAUGAUAGAAACUUACAGAGAGAAAAUUCCUUCCUUCUCAAUUUUAAACAAAAAUUUUAAAAGCAACAUUUUUGAUGUGGUAGGAAGACAUUUAUAUGACAUACACAGCUACUGCCUUAAACUGGCAAAAAUAACAAAAGAAAAAAUUGUUAUUUAACCUUUAAAUAAUGAGUAUCUAUUUGCUACAAAUCUACAAAUAUUUUAAAUAUAUUUCCUCUACUGCAAUAAAAAUUAAGAUAACCCUCUGUUUAACAGCUUUUGAAGAUGUUAAUUUUAUAAGGAAAUAAAAAAGAUUGACUUGCCUCCUGAAUAUCCAGUGAUAAACUGAGCCCUAAUUUCCCUCCCUCAAGAACAUAAAAAUGAUGUAAAGUGGAUCAAAGUAUGUAACAAUAUUAACAAUAUUAAAAAUGAUUUUUCAUA